UGUCAGUUGUAGAUUUCAAUGAGAAGACUGACAGUGAAAUUCCAUGCAAUACCAACAAUGAUGUUGCCGACUAUGUAUCAGUUGAGGCAAACCUUGAAGAACCGGUAGUUGAAGAAAAACCUGAAGAAACAACGGUUGAGAAGAAACCUGAAGAACCAUCAAUUGAGGAGAAACGUGAAACACCAGCAUUUGAGAAGAAACCUGAAGAACCAAUAAUUGAGGAGAAACCUGAAGAACAAACAAUUGAAGAGGAGAAACAUGAAAGGAUAACUCUCCUGGAAAAGGUGAGGAUCAAGCAUUGUCACAAAGUUUAUCCAUCUUGUUAGUCGUGUAUACGAUACAAUUUACAUAUGCUUACCUACUGAAAGACUAAGUAAGACUUUAAAGUUCUUCUUGCAGAGUAUUCCAGUUGUAGUCCCGAACGACAAAACUGAAAGUAAAACUCCAAGCAUUACAAACAAUAAUGCUGCUCACUUUUCAGAAGUUGAGGAAAACCCUGAAGAACCUGCAGUAAAAGAAAAAACUGAAAAACCAGUUCUUGAAGAGAAACCUGAAGAACCAACAGUUGAAGAGAAAUCUGAAGAACCAGUUGAGGAGAAACCUGAAGAACCAACAGCUGAAGAGAAACCUGAAGAACCAGCAACUAAAGAAAAACAAGUGCUAGUAGGGGAGGAAACAGCUGAAGAACUAGCGCUUGAAGAGAAACCUGAAGAACUAACGAUUGAACAGACAGAUGAAGAACUAGUUGUUGAAGAUAAAACUGAAAAACCACCAAAUAAAGAGGAGAGACCUGAAACGGUAACUCUCCUUUAGCAGUGUCACAGAGUUUAUCCAUCCUAUUAGUUCUAUAUGUGCAACGAAUUCAUAUCUGUUUAUCUAUUGAAAUACUAAGUGAAAAUUCAAAUUUUCUUGCAGAAUUUGCCCAUUGCAGACUCAAAGGACCAGACUGACAAUGCAAUUCCAUGCGAUACCAACAAUGAUAUUGCUGACUAUGCAACAGUUGAGGAAAAACCUGAAGAAACAGUAGUUGAAGAAAAACAUGAAGAACCUGCAAUUGAAAAGAAAUUUGAAGAAUCAACAGUUAUGGAGAAACCUGAAGAACCAGCAGUGGAAGAAAAACCUGAAGAACCAACAGUUAAAGAGGAACCUGAAAAAUCAGUGAUGGAAGAGAAACCUGAAGAACCAAUUGUUGAGGAGAAACUUGAAGAACCAACUGUUGAAGAGAAACCUGAAAAAUCACUGAUUGAAGAAACACCUGAAGAACCAAUAUGGGAAGAAACACCUAAAGAACUAGCAUUUGAAGAGAAACCAGAAGAACCAGCAGUUGAAGAGGAGAAACCUGAAAAGGUAACUCUUUUGGAAGAGGUGAGUAUCAAGCAUUAGCACAUAGUUUAUCCAUCAUGUUAUUUCUGUAUGUGCAUCGAUUCACAUCUGCUUAUCUAUUGAAAGUCUAAAUGAGACUUUAAAUUCUUCUUGCAGAAUAUACCAGCUGUAGAUUUCAACGACAAGACUGACCGUGAAAUUCCAUGCGAUACCAACAAUGAUAUUGCUGACUAUGCAACAGUUGAGGAAAAACCUGAAGAACCGGUAGUUGAAGAAAAACAUGAAGAACCUGCAAUUGAAAAGAAAUUUGAAGAAUCAACGGUUAUGGAGAAACCUGAAAAACCAGUGGUUAAGGUACAACCUGAAGAACCAGCAGUGGAAGAAAAAGUUGAAGAACCAACAGUUAAUGAGGAACCUGAAAAAUCAGCGAUGGAAGAGAACCCUGAAGAAUCAAUUGUUGAGGAGAAACUUGAAGAACCAACUGUUGAAGAGAAACCUGAAAAAUCACUGAUUGAAGAAACACCUGAAGAACCAAUAUGGAAAGAAACACCUAAAGAACUAGCAUUUGAAGAGCAACCAGAAGAACCAGCAGUUGAAGAGGAG
rnacentral:lncRNA from 1 species